AGGCCACCGCGACCGAGCCGAGCCAGGCUAAGGGACCAGUGUCUCCCUGCCCCCACCCCACCUCUAGGAGCUCUGGAGCCUUAGGACCAUGGACGCUCUCAAUAGGAACCAAAUAGGCCCUGGAUGCAAGACCCAGACCAUGGUGCAGAAAGGACCCUUGGACCUGAUCGAGACAGGCAAAGGGCUGAAAGUGCAAACGGACAAACCCCACCUGGUGAGCCUGGGCAGUGGGCGACUCAGCACAGCCAUCACCCUCCUGCCGCUGGAGGAAGGGAGGACGGUGAUUGGCUCUGCAGCCAGAGACAUCUCACUACAGGGCCCAGGCCUGGCUCCAGAGCACUGCUACAUCGAGAACCUGCGGGGCACCCUCACCCUCUACCCCUGUGGCAAUGCCUGCACUAUUGAUGGGCUCCCUGUCCGGCAGCCUACCCGGCUCACUCAGGGCUGCAUGUUGUGCCUGGGUCAGUCCACCUUCCUUCGCUUUAACCACCCGGCUGAAGCCAAGUGGAUGAAAAGCAUGAUUCCAGCAGGGGGCCGAGCCCCUGGGCCCCCCUAUAGCCCUGUUCCUGAAUCAGAAAGUCUGGUAAAUGGGAACCACACCCCACAGACUGCAACACGGGGACCCUCUGCCUGUGCCAGCCACAGUUCCCUGGUGAGCUCUAUUGAGAAGGACCUGCAAGAGAUCAUGGACUCACUGGUGCUAGAGGAGCCUGGAGCUGCUGGCAAGAAGCCUGCCGCAACCUCUCCACUGUCGCCGAUGGCUAAUGGUGGGCGCUACCUGCUGUCUCCCCCAACCAGCCCCGGCGCCAUGUCUGUGGGCUCCAGCUAUGAGAACACCUCUCCAGCCUUCUCUCCACUCUCUUCACCAGCCAGCAGUGGAAGCUGUGCCAGUCACUCACCCAGUGGGCAAGAGCCAGGACCUUCUGUGCCCCCGCUGGUACCUGCCCGUUCCUCCAGCUACCAUCUGGCCCUACAGCCCCCACAGUCCCGCCCAAGUGGUGCUCGCUCCGAGAGUCCUCGGCUGAGCAGGAAAGGGGGCCAUGAGAGGCCUCCCAGUCCUGGCCUCCGGGGUCUGCUGACAGACAGCCCUGCAGCUACUGUCUUGGCGGAGGCCCGGAGAGCCACUGAGAGCCCCCGGCUGGGUGGGCAGCUGCCUGUGGUGGCCAUCAGCCUGAGUGAAUACCCAGCUUCUGCACGAAGAUGCACCUAGCACCAAGCUCCAGGGAGAGGUGCUAGCCCUGGAAGAAGAGCGGGCUCAGGUGCUGGGGCGCGUGGAGCAGCUCAAGGUCCGUGUGAAGGAGCUAGAGCAGCAGCUGCA
rnacentral:sRNA from 1 species